rnacentral:rRNA from 1 species
AUUGAACGCUGGCGGCAUGCCUUACACAUGCAAGUCGAACGGCAGCACGGGAGCAAUCCUGGUGGCGAGUGGCGAACGGGUGAGUAAUAUAUCGGAACGUGCCCAGUAGUGGGGGAUAACUGCUCGAAAGAGCAGCUAAUACCGCAUACGACCUGAGGGUGAAAGGGGGGGAUCGCAAGACCUCUCGCUAUUGGAGCGGCCGAUAUCAGAUUAGCUAGUUGGUGGGGUAAAGGCCUACCAAGGCAACGAUCUGUAGUGGGUCUGAGAGGACGCCCGGCCACACUGGGACUGAUACCCGGCCCAGACUCCUACGGGGGGCAGCAGUGGGGAAUUUUGGACAAUGGGCGCAAGCCUGAUCCAGCAAUGCCGCGUGCAGGAAGAAGGCCUUCGGGUUGUAAACUGCUUUUGUCAGGGAAGAAAUCCUCUAGGUUAAUACCCUUGGGGGGAUGACGGUACCUGAAGAAUAAGCACCGGCUAACUACGUGCCAGCAGCCGCCGUAACAC